rnacentral:rRNA from 1 species
CAGCCGCCGCGGGAAAACGUAGGUGGCAAGCGUUGUCCGGAAUUAUUGGGCGUAAAGGGCUCGCAGGCGGUUUCUUAAGUCUGAUGUGAAAGCCCCCGGCUCAACCGGGGAGGGUCAUUGGAAACUGGGAAACUUGAGUGCAGAAGAGGAGAGUGGAAUUCCACGUGUAGCGGUGAAAUGCGUAGAGAUGUGGAGGAACACCAGUGGCGAAGGCGACUCUCUGGUCUGUAACUGACGCUGAGGAGCGAAAGCGUGGGGAGCGAACAGGAUUAGAUACCCCAGUAGUCCCUGUCUCUUAUAC